CCAUAUGAUAGAAGUCCCACUUUCGAGUCCCCUCCCCUGUUCGGCUGUGCCUGUCCUGAUUUUCUUGUCCAUUUCGAAUGGCUGAGGUAGAGAGGAACCCUAGAUCUAGAUCUGGAGCAGACCCUUCUUUUUUGGAUCAAUCUCCCCUUUUUGCGCGCCUGCGAGUCUCUUCUGCAUUCGACGACUUCGGCAUGGUUCGUCCCUUCUCCUAAGGAAAGAAGCCGUGAGGACCUCGCAAGGAUGGUAAAUCUACAAGAGAUGCCAUUUACAAUAGUUGAACACCAAACUUUUUAGAUGUUUGUUAGGAACCUUAGAUCAGAAUUUCAUAUUAUUUCAAGGACAACCAGAGCCGUGGAGGAUAAAGAUGCGAAGCAUUGUUUCUGCUGAGUGGGUGAUCUUUUAGCUGUGGUCGAAUAGAUUUUCAGCAAAUUUUGUAUAGGUAGUUCUGCCUUGCAAUAGCAUUCAAGGCAUUUUUGUUCUUUGUAGGUCGCUUUAUAUUGAGGAAACUAUGGUUCAUUAUGCAUGUUCUUAGUUAUGUAAUUCUAAAAUUCACUGAACAUGAUGCUAAUGCUAUGAUGCAUCCUUUUGGAUUGUCA